rnacentral:rRNA from 1 species
UACAGAGGGUGCGAGCGUUUGUUCGGAAUUAUUGGGCGUAAAGCGCGUGUAGGCGGUCUGUUAUGUCGGGUGUGAAAGCCCUCAGCUUAACUGAGGAAGUGCGCCCGAAACUGGCAGACUUGAGUGCCGGAGAGGAUAGCGGAACACCCCGGUGUAGAGGUGAAAUUCGUAGAUAUCGGGUAGAACACCAGUGGCGAAGGCGGCUAUCUGGACGGACACUGACGCUGAGACGCGAAAGCGUGGG